rnacentral:rRNA from 1 species
GUACACGCUGUGACUAGCAUAUCAAUAAGCGGAGGAAAAGAAACUAACAAGGAUUCCCCUAGUAACGGCGAGUGAAGCGGGAAGAGCUCAAAUUUGAGAUCUUAAAGGGUUUCCCUUUACGAAUUGUAGUUUAAAGAAGUGUUUUCUGUUGAGGUUUUGGUAAAAGUUCUUUGGAAUAGGACAUCAUAGAGGGUGAGAAUCCCGUAUUUGACCUUUACUUUCAACUUUGUGAUACACUUUCAAAGAGUCGGAUUGUUUGGGAAUGCAGUCCAAAAUGGGUGGUAAAUUUCAUCUAAAGCUAAAUAUUGGCGAGAGACCGAUAGCGAACAAGUACCGUGAGGGAAAGAUGAAAAGAACUUUGAAAAGAGAGUUAAACAGUACGUGAAAUUGUCAAAAGGGAAGCGUUUGACACCAGUGUUGUUUUUCUGAAAAUCAAUUAAAGAACUGUUUAUGCUAAGUUGUUUAGACUUUAUCAGCUAUCUGUUUAGUUUUGAGCCUUUCUUUAAUGCACUUUUCAGUUAACAAGUCAACAUCAAUUUCUUUUGCUGUAAAAAAGCUUGAGGAAGGUGGCUUGAGAUUCGUCUUAAGUGUUUAUAGCCUCUUGCCUAUGCAGUCGGAGAGAUUGAGGUCUGCAGCGUAGAUCCUUCGGGGCUAAAUGCAUUUGUGCUAAGUUAUAGCAUUUUAUAGACAACUUGUUGACUAUGAUUUGUCUUGUAGCUUACUCGCUUAUGUUAUUUUACCUACGCUUAGGAUGUUGAAGAUGUAGCACAUCAU